GCAUGGGUUUGGAUUUAUGGCAGGCCCUGCCCGUGGACCUCUCAUAGUGUCCCAUGCCAGAGUAAACUGGGGCCCCCGACCAUUGCCUUGCCUCCUAGCCCGUUGGCUUCCGGCACUGAGGCGGACUGCACAAAG
ensembl:snoRNA SNORA80B small nucleolar RNA, H/ACA box 80B